rnacentral:misc_RNA from 1 species
AGCAGAUCUUUUUAAAAUACUUUUCAUAAGGCUGGUAUGUCAUAUAAAAUUAAACAAGAUUUGGUAACUUCUGGCCUGGCAGAAAAAGCAUUGAAAACACAAUUUACGAUACACCUAAUUUCUUGAAAAUUGAAGAAAAAAUUUGCUUUAACUAUGUAAAUCAUAUAUUUAGCGCGUCAGUUAGUCAAAACACAAUCAAAUAAUAUUUGCCUCGAAUCGUGAUAUGGAGUUUUUGGAUUCGCUGGAUCUAGACACGAUCGAUAAGAAGUCGCACCGGGUGCGGUCUUGGUAUCUGUACGAGCAAUAUAAAUCUCUCGAAAGAAGUCAGUUGGAUGCCGCGCAGAAACUGAAAGAUCGCUCCUACCAGGAGAGAAUUCUGCGCCAGGAAUUGUCGGAAAGACGAGCCAGACGCAAACUAUACGAUCAAUUCGGACUUUGUCAGAGCGAGUCCAGAUUAAAGAAAGAGAGGAGCGACAGCACCAGGAGUUCAGUGAGUGCCAGUAACGACGAUUUCUUCGAGAGUUUCUGCGUCUUGCAAGACGACGAACGUGUUACCCAAAUUACGGGAACAGAGUUUUCUGAAGAUUCCUUCAGUCAAGACGGCUUGUCGGCUAGUAAAUGCUGCAUUAACGAUUUCAAAACUGAAGAGCACAAGGAUGACUGCAGCUAUACUGAGAGCGUAAAUAGCGUAGUAGAGAAUUUGAAACCUUUUAACGACGAGUUUUUACCAACAAAAGAGAACAUGGAGCUUUCGCAGAACUCUAUAGUAGAAGAUAUAAAUAUGCAACUUGACUCGGUCAAAGAGGAUAUUAUAUGUUUAGAAAACUUAGCAAAAAUUGAAGACGUUGAUAAAAUAUCUGAAGACGAAAGUUUGAACACCGUUGAUGAAUGCGAGUCGAAGCCUGAUACGGUUAGCGAAAAAACUGUUCAGGAAUAUAAUAAUAACGUAAUCGCAAUAUGGUCCCGGCUAGUCUCGUUCGCAUAUCAAGUUGUACAAUUAAACCAUGGCAACUGCUACUGUGACUACAGCUCGCAGUUCCUGACGGCGGUGCUGGCGUGUGAUGUGUUGCGAAGGGGCGUCAACAGAAUGUCCUUACGUCUCACCAAUAAAGUUUGCUACUGACGAUUCGGACGUGUCCAACCCGCUUUUUAAUUUAAAUAUUAAACGGAAAAAAUUAGUACAAUCAAGAAAAUGCAGGAAAAUAUGUGAUAAGCCAUUAUCAAGCAAGAAAGCAAAAACAUGGUCCAAAACAA